AGUGAACGCUGGCGGUAGGCCUAACACAUGCAAGUCGAACGGCAGCACAGGAGAGCUUGCUCUCUGGGUGGCGAGUGGCGGACGGGUGAGGAAUACAUCGGAAUCUACUCUGUCGUGGGGGAUAACGUAGGGAAACUUACGCUAAUACCGCAUACGACCUACGGGUGAAAGCAGGGGACCUUCGGGCCUUGCGCGAUUGAAUGAGUCGAUGUCGGAUUAGCUAGUUGGCGGGGUAAAGGCCCACCAAGGCGACGAUCCGUAGCUGGUCUGAGAGGAUGAUCAGCCACACUGGAACUGAGACACGGUCCAGACUCCUACGGGAGGCAGCAGUGGGGAAUAUUGGACAAUGGGCGCAAGCCUGAUCAGCCAUACCGCGUGGGUGAAGAAGGCCUUCGGGUUGUAAAGCCCUUUUGUUGGGAAAGAAAUCCAGCUGGCUAAUACCCGGUUGGGAUGACGGUACCCAAAGAAUAAGCACCGGCUAACUUCGUGCCAGCCGCCGCCGUAA
rnacentral:rRNA from 1 species